AUAUUGGAAAAGACAAUUUAAAAAAUAUAUCAAGAUAUUUUAUAGGUACCCUAAGCUUCAAAUCUGUAUAUUUUAAACAAUCCUACCCACAGAAACUGCUUCAUGGGAAGCCCAAAUUAACAUUUUGUAUGAAAACAAUUACAAAAGCUACUAUAUGGUAUGGAAAAUAAACUGAAAAUGGAAUGAGUGCCUUAAUUAUAUCAGUGUAGGAUGAGGACAAAGGAGAAGAAGUUAAAAUUAUGAAUCUUAAGGAAUUGAAGAAAAUUGCAUUUUACGGAGGAGUAUCUGACUAGACUUGGUAAGUGAGGCUAAACACAAUGUUGCCCUUGAAGCUUUCUGGAAAAAUUGCUC
rnacentral:lncRNA from 1 species